CGUAAAGCGCAUGCAGGCGGCCUGUUAAGUCAGAUGUGAAAGCCCGGGGCGUUAACCUCGGAAUUGCAUUUGAAACUGGCAGGCUAGAGUCUUGUAGAGGGGGGUAGGAAGUUUCAGGUGUAGCGGUGAAAUGCGUAGAGAUCUGAAGGAAUACCAGUGGCGAAGGCGGCCCCCUGGAUAAAGACUGACGCUCAGAUGCGAAAGCGUGGGGAGCAAACAGGAUUAGAUACCCUGGUAG
rnacentral:rRNA from 1 species